CCAUCUGUCGCCCACAUACACAGUCGCGUGGUUGGGCCCACGGGAUGCAAGCCCAGGCCCUCUCAAAAACCGGCCCAGAUUGUGGAUAGCGCCGAUCGGAAAGCGGAUAAUGAAGUGAACGUCUUCGCUUCCCGUGUGUGCCCGUCUCUUAUCUCCAACAGUCCUAAAAAAGAAAGUCUCUUAUCUCCAACGGUCCGAAGCGGAACACGACGGCCGUCACGAUCCUCGCCGCCACGGCCGGGGAGAAUCGAGGAUGUGCGGGCCGCAGGCGAGCGGCGCCACGGCUUCGUGAGUGGUGGGGGCGGAUGGACACGGACGAGCACCUCUACCUGCUGGGCUCCUGACGCUCCCCGUCUCCCGCUUCGACGCCGACAAGGUAGGCAAGAACGUGUGGCGGCGAUCUCAUUCCACCUCUUCACGCAGAUCACGCAGGUUGGGUUCGGCUCGCGCCUCCUCCCCUCGUCCCAUCUCAGGGCUUGGAUCCCGACGGGAUUUCGAAUUUUCGAUUGGUAUAAUAUUGCAUUGAUAACAAUAUUUGACCUAUCUUGAUAAAAACUGGUACUUGUAAUGCAAAAAUAUUUAGUUCCUUUACAUUGAAUUUAAAAGGUAAGUCAAACAUUUACCAUCCGUCUCCAUGAUAAUAUACGAUGAUAUUACGAUCGACAGUUUAUGAGAAACAGAUAAUAAAGAUAGACAAACUGAUUGAUUAUAUUACAAUAAGGUCACUCGCACUGCAUAAUAUAUAUCACAGUGCAUGAUACUACUUUAGUCCCCUUUUCCAAAAAUGAUACUACUUUAGUUACUGUAUUCACACUGCAUAGCAUCAUAUUAUCAUUUCAUUUAUCCAUUUGUAGAAUCCAAUUCCAAACAUAAAGUUGUGGAUAUGAUCUAUUUCUUAUAAAUUUUUCUCGUUUAAUGUGUUAUACUGUUCCACAAUAUGAUGCUACAAUCUUCUCUCACAUUCUUAAUUGCAAUGCCGCAUCAUCGUUUUCCUUAGGUGGCACUGCAUUGAUACCCUUUAUGAUACUUGCACCAGGACAGGUCUAAGGGUCUUGCUGCAGUUGCACCCAGGGAUGUUGCAUCACCUUCCUCAACCUAUCAAGCUUCUCCGCAACUUCCUUCAUUGAUGGCCUAUUCGUACCACACAUCUCCAAGCAUUGCUUCGCUAGCUCCGCGAUCUCUUCAAGAACCUCCAUGUUGUCUUGCUUGAUCCCAUCAUCCAAGAUCUCCUGAAGCUUAUUCUCCUUCACUGCAGACAUAAACAUCAUUGAUAGGCUCUUCUCUUGGUCAGAGGCAUCAAGACUAAAGGGCUUCUUCCCCGUGAGCAGCUCCAGAAGAACGACACCAAAGCUGUACACGUCACUCUUGUCUGUCAACUGGCAUGUUUGCAUGUACUCCGGGUCAAGGUACCCGCACGUCCCUUGUACAAGUGUGACAAAUUGUGACUCAUCGGUUGGUGCCAGGAUAGAGGCACCGAAGUCGGAGACUUUAGCCUUGUAGUCGCCAUCAAGGAGGAUAUUGGAGGACUUGACAUCACCAUGAAGGAUUGGUGUCGAAGUGGAUGAGUGAAGGUAGGAGAGCGCGUCCGCGGACUCAUGAGCGAUCCCCAAGCGAGUGGCUAAGGGGAUACGUCGGCCAUGGUUGCCGUGGAUGAGAUGGUAAAGAGUGCCGUUUGGGACGAACUCAUAAACCAACAUGGGGACUUCCACUUCGAGGCAGCAUCCCAGAAGUUUCACAAUGUUUUUGUGGUUGAUUUGGGAUAGGAUUAGCAUCUCCUUACCGAACUCCUUCUUGUGUUGCUCGUUGAUGGUCAUGCAUCUCUUGACCGCCACCUCCACGUUGCGGUUGAAAAGUCCCUUAUACACAGUCCCAUGCCCCCCAUGACCUAAGACUUGUUGUUCACUGAACUUGUUCGUGGCUUGUUGCAGUUCUUCCUCUGAGAAGAUUUUGAAUGUAAGGCCUUGCUUCGACUUCAUCUCUUCAAAUAGUAUGAGGCCACCAUGCUGCCGGAAGUAGUUCUGUUUCAUGUUCUGUAGCUUCCGUCUCUCUUGGAUGAAGCAUGCAAAGGCAAUAACAAUCACAAUGAUGACGAGCCCAACACUUGCACCUGCAUGAUUAUCAAUCCAAAUAUAGUUAUGAGUACCUUUUCAAACUAAAUUUCGGCGACUAGUGUCUUGUUUUGUUCUUUUGAAAUCAAACACAGUGGCCCACUGAAAUCUAGUACUGUUGUUGGAGUUAUGUUUUAUACCAUGGUCCAAACUCCAAACUAAGAAUUUCUUGGUCGUUCAAACUAUUUAUUUGAUUCACUUUCCCUUUAAAACUAUCAUUGGAUCAGUUUCUCCUUCAAACGAUAGUGGCUAGUUCAUUUCACUACUGAGACCAGUUUUGGACGACAUCGGUCUUGACAACCUGGAUGGUUGUUCUGCCAGUGUGACAUCCAUGUCAUCCAAAUACUGCACACACAAAAUGACAUGUGGCAGCAGCAGACACCGCUUUUCGUUGCCUGAUGCACAAUCACCUAUCAAUACCUGACCACUCCGGGGUCAACCUCAUUUUUGAAAAAAAAAAUCAGUACCUGACCACUGAUGGCGGGGCGCAAGCUCAGUGAGCUAGACAACCACUGCCACCACCAUGGUCUUCGAUGAAGAACAAGCGUCAGAGGCAGUCGUAACCAAUAUCCGAUCUUCCUAGAACUUGGAUAAUGCCUUGCGGGCAAAACCAUUGUCAAAGUCAUGAAAUCCAGCAUCCAAGAAAGGUAGGGGGUAAAGACAUAAAUAUAAGUAGUAUAGCUUUGGAGGGGAAUAUUGAACAUAUUUGAGAAAAAAAACUGCCAAAUCAAUAGUCAUUUUGGGUGGGUGGUUGGGGGGGUUGAGCUUUCCCUUUUUAGUAGUGAUGAUGUCUAUGCUCACUCAGCAAAGAGAAGAACACACCUACGACUGGCACCGCAGGAAAAUGGGGAGACUUUGGAAUUGGUACGCAGACACCAUUUGUCAUAUAGUUCCCAGGGUGGCAUGAGCAACUGUAUUUCCCCUGCGUAUUCUUGCAGAUCCCUGGGCCGCAAGGAUUAGAUUUUUCACGGCACUCGUCAAUAUCUGGGAAAGAAAUGUUUUUAGUUCAAGUAGUUAUACAAUGUGUAUACUCAUGAUCUACAUGAGAUGGUGAAAAAUGUAAGUGAGGUAGAAGGCAGGAAAACGGGAGGUACCUUGGCAUCCAGCCGUGAUGUAAGGGUUGCCUUUGUACCCAUUGGAGCACUUGCAAUGGUAACCUGGAUCGUUGGUGGUGGAAUCAACACACGCACUAUGGCUGCUGAGGCACGCAUAGGUACUCAUGUUCUUUUUAGCUGCCUUGCAAGUCCACGGUCUUAUUACCCAGUUCGCGACAAGAGGGACUCCCCCCUUGUAUGUCUCAUAGAACACUUUGGAUUUGACAUAGCUGGUGUUGAAACUGAAAGCUGCCUUAUCCAUCAGUGCCAUGUAAUUGCAAGGAUUGGCUUGCCAUAUUUGAGUAGUGUUGUAGUUUUCGUUGAAAUAGCCACGAUAAUACUGUAUGCCCUUUGGGACAUCGGCUUGACAACAGCCAGCGCCAGAGCAUUUGCCAUUCUCGAGGGUGAAAUUCUUGCAUGUGGAAUAGCAACCUAUUACGUACUGCACACAAAACAAACCAAACAAUACUGAUAUGAGAUGUCUUUUUUUUGGGGAGGGGGGGGGGGGGGGGGGGUAUAUGAGUUGUCUUUAACUAGAGUAACGAUUUAAAUUAAGAAAUUACGUCAUUUUUAUCUUAAGGAAAUGUUAUUUUAUACUACUAGUACUUGUAGAGAAAGUCUUGCAAAUCUAUUCACACUGGUUAAUGGUAAGAGUUUUCUCUUUCUACGACAAAUGAAUUGGAAAAGUUUAUCUAAAAUGGAUGGAGGAACAAAAAGUCACUUUUCUCUAUGCACGGUAUCGUUAACUUCAGAAAUAUUCAUCCUAGUUAUCUCCCCGCUAUUUGGAAACUUAAGAUAGCACCUAGAACUCACGCAUUUCUGUGUCUGAUCUCAAAAUAAAAUUAUGACUGGAGACAAUUUGAUGGGAGAAAACGUAUAUGGAGAAACCUAGAGGAUUUAUUCAAUGUAAUGUUCACAGCGCAUGAAUUGAUACAAUAUCUUCUCUACUGUGUUGUGGCCAAACUUCAACUUGUGUGGGAGGAAUCAGCACCAGUUCUGAAGGUUAGAAAUUAAGUUAGUUAUUUCUGAAUCUUUGCAAAGUUUUUGGGAAGGAUUGUCUUGCCAUUAAUACUGUAACUUGUAACUAAUGCAACGAUUUGAGGAUUAUUGAAUAGCAGGAACGAAAUUGUUUUAACAAAAAAGUCUGGGUUAAUAUGGAACAGUUUGUCCCCUUAAAAAAAUAUUACUAAUAAUAAUAUGUAACAGUUUGGGACAUGAUCCUGGCCUACAUCAGGAACCGGAAGGUUCCUUGCAAAGAGAAAUAAGAUGGACUUGCUGGAAAAAGUUGGGGCUCUGUUUGUAAGGAGGGUGAGAGAAUUUAACCUCUAGCUCCACCAGGGGCUGGGGGGUAGAAGUGCAAGCUGAAAAUUAAAGGUAUCUUUCAAGCCGAGUCCAGCAGAGCUUUGAUAUCAUAGAAAGGUCAGAAGAAUGCACUGGUAGGAAGAGGUAGGAAGAAUGCAUACAUGCUCACAUGAUUAACUAUCAGAUGAUAACAGGUGAAUAUAGUUCAUCAUUUUGUUAUGUAGCAUGUUCUUUGCUUGGUUAUCUGUAAUUAAAAACGGAUGUCUACUUAACUGAAAAACACUUGUAGGUUUCAUCAUCUACAUAAUGAAAAUGGAGCUAGAGAGGUUUUACUCGCUGAAAAUUAAUAGAAGUAACGGGUUCUUUUUUCCAAAUACUCCUAUUAAUGAAAGUACUUUCACCCGGUUCAGUAUAAUAAAAAUGUUGAAAUUACUCACAGAAGAGCUCCUCAUAUAAGCGAGAGCAUUGCAUCCGAUGACGAUAAUUUUGUUAUCCACUUCCGAUAUCGAGAAUGGUGUAUUGGUGAAGCUCAACCAUGCAUCAAAGUAAUUCAUACUGCGAGUAGCUGGGGAGUAGCACUGCCAGGAGAAGCUCAUUUUUAUCCGGAUCUUGUUGUCGGGGACGGAGAUAUCGGUCACCUCGAAUGGACCCGUACGAGGCUUCGUGGUGCUGUUGAUGCUCGUGCAGUCAAGGUUAAAGCCGUUGUGCAACGCACAGUGCUCACCGAUGCCGAACGGGAAUGGGAUUGCGACGUCGCCGCACUUCGCCGGGCAGCCAGGACGCUGGCCUGCCCGUACAUCGGCCGUGGCCAGCACCCAUGUCGCCGAAAGGCAGAUAAAAAGAAGCCGAGAACAACCCGGCUUCAUCCUUGCGUGAACUAGUGGGUGUGUGGCUGUUUGCCCCUGAGCUCCUUGCUGUACCAUGGCGCUACCGUGGGCUAUAAAUAGAUGAAUGAACAAAGCAACAGUAGUUCUUUCUCGUUAUUGGCUGCCUGAUUGACUACCACCUCUUAUUUUCUUUUCCUUUUUCUUUUUCUUUUUGCGUAGAGACUAGAGAGCGACUAUACCAGUUGACUAGGGUUAAGUGAUGAAGUGACACAGGCAAAGCGUAAUAGCUGCAUUAUCACCCCUGCCUAAUAUGGCCAUCUUACUUCCUGGCAUAUUUGAGACAUCAAUCCAUGUCUGAGUCUGAUUUGGCCUUCCUCAUCCGGUAGGGCCUUCAGCAAGCAGCUUCCAUGACCGCUUGUGUGGUUGAAGAUGGAAACGAGCCUGAACCGGAACCUGAUUAGGUAUGUAAUCUGUUGUUAUUGCCAUUUUCCUGUUUGUUUGUAACCUCCGUUCUUUUCUCCUCUGGAUUCGGCAACAGCAGUGACGUGUUGUGUGGUCACCCUCUUGGGGACGUUGUCGGGGAGCUCAGGUUCCUUCCGGUUACGGCACGGCGACGUCUUUGGGAGGCUUGGAUCAUUGUUUGAAGCAUCUUCGUGUGUGGCAGUCUCAUCGCCAGUAUUUUGGGAUCUUUCUGCUCGCUGACAUGGUCGACGCUCCACGUCAUGGAGCAAGAGGGCGGAGAGCCUCUUCGGUAACAGUUUGGUGUGGGCAGUGCGGCGAAGUCCGGUGGUUCCUCUACGAGACGCGAGUUCAUUCUUGGUUGGCUUCCGUGGUGCUUUUUUUUUGUGUGUGGUUCAGCCCCUCCAGUGCUCAUCCUCCCGGAUGGUGGCGUCCAAUAGUGCAUCUCUUGCUCAUUGUUUUCCGUUGCUUUCUUUGUUUAUCGGUUUUUAUUUUGAUCGGCUUUGUAAGAGUUUUUUCAACACAUUGUAUCAUUCAGCCAUGUGGCUUUAUAUAUAAAGCAGGACGAAACCAUA